UGUCUGCAAGUCCAGAUUUACAUGAUACUGAUAAUGACGCCAUUGUGUCUGCCUGUAAGACAUAUUACGAGACAGCACGCAGGAGCUUCAGGUAGAAACAACCAGAUCUGGCAUCGUGGGCAGAAGCUGUGAAGAGUUCAGCUCGGAGUCGGUCAAGAAGAAAAGAGGCUGCUGGAAGCGAGACAGAGUGUGCUGGCUGCGGGUGAGGUGGACAUUUGUAAGUGCGCCACCAUAGACCUGAUGAUCCGAAAUACAGGGCAAAGCAUCACAGACGCCUGAAAAAUGGACCGAAUUCAGACAGAAUGCCAUCAGUUACCUACAGCUCCAAGGCGGCCGUGGUUUAGGGGUUGACGGUGCUGUAUGAUUUGGCUUCUCAUGUGCGUGGGAUAUUUGUUGUGUGUGCUGUGUGUCUCCUAUGCUUUGUACAUAGUUUUUUUUCUGAUUGCGUUUGUGUUUUGUGUUAAUAAAGCUCUACCUUUGAACAGAGCCGGAUUAACCAUUAGGGCAACUGGUCACGUGCCCAGGGGCACAGGACAUCUAAGGGGCCCUGGGCUCCGGCAAAUAUUAUGUUAGAUCACAUUAUAAACGCAGUCCUCACUUUCCUAAUUAUAUGCGGAUUUUUGCAACCCGUUCCAUCAAAAUAUUAUGUUAAAUUGCGUCAAAAACAGUGUCUGUAGCUUCCUCCAUAGCGAGCGACAAGAGAACGAGCUGUCACAGACGGUGGUAAAGUUUGUUUUAUAUUGGAAGGUCAAGCUGGAUAAUAGAUUUUUCGAAUGUGUCGAAUAUCCAACGUCCAAUAUAAAACCAACUUUACCACGGUCUGUCACAGCGAGUUGGCUGCGGUGUGUUGGCAAUGCAUCACGGCAAAGACUGGAGCGAUUGAGCUGCACCCCGAGCCUAUGAAAGUGAAGUCAGUUUCCCCAGGGGAAGUUUAAACACACAUUUAAAGGUGCAAUAUGUAAUAUUGUGUGUAAUACUGGCAGCUAGCGGUUAAA